rnacentral:rRNA from 1 species
UCUACGGGGUGCAGCAGUGGGGAAUAUUGGACAAUGGGCGAAAGCCUGAUCCAGCCAUGCCGCGUGUGUGAAGAAGGCCUUCGGGUUGUAAAGCACUUUCAGUGGGGAAGAAAGCCUUGGGGCUAAUACCCUCGAGGAAGGACAUCACCCACAGAAGAAGCACCGGCUAACUCCGUGCCAGCAGCCGCGGUAAUACGGAGGGUGCGAGCGUUAAUCGGAAUUACUGGGCGUAAAGCGCGCGUAGGCGGUCUGAUAAGCCGGUUGUGAAAGCCCCGGGCUCAACCUGGGAACGGCAUCCGGAACUGUCAGGCUAGAGUGCAGGAGAGGAAGGUAGAAUUCCCGGUGUAGCGGUGAAAUGCGUAGAGAUCGGGAGGAAUACCAGUGGCGAAGGCGGCCUUCUGGACUGACACUGACGCUGAGGUGCGAAAGCGUGGGUAGCAAACAGGAUUAGAUACCCCAGUAGUC